UUAGCGAAGAGGAUAGGACAGGACCGAUGAGGCCAUGCGGCUACUUCUGUAUCCAGUCUUAGCCUGUCUCCUAAUCUGCAUGAUAGCCGGCUAUGAAGUCGAGAAAAAUCAAGAGAAACCGAUUUGGUACCCAAGACAUCAAUCACAACGAAUUCGAAAAGGGGCACCUGUAGGAAGCAGGUCAUCUCUGAAAAAGAAUCGAGGAGGCCAUGGGGGGCGGCAUGAUAGAUGCACUUUUCGACUUGAACGAACGAACUGCGUGGGCGCCAGUUUUGUUCAUAGGUGGACCUAUAAUGAAGAUUCGAACACUUGCGAAGACAUUCAUUUCCCUCUCUGUUGGAACAAAAGCAGAAUGUUUCUGACGUGCUCAGCCUGCAUGAACACAUGUAUGAAAGGAAACAAAAAAGACCAUGAGUGGAGUAGAAGAGUACAAAGGUUCUGUGAAAAAAGCAUGAAUAAACAUCUCAGAAAACAUAACUUAAACUAACAUCGUGUGCCCCAUCGAGCAUUCUGUAUUGAAGUAUUCUAAAUAAA